rnacentral:misc_RNA from 1 species
CAGCAUUCUUCCAGACUGCAAGAACACUGCUUACAACACUGCAAGGCUUGGUGCGCAAAGUGCACGAAUGAAGAUGAGUCCUGUUCCUAUGCAUGGAGGAUUCACUUGGCAGGCAUAUAGUGAAGAGACAGACUCAGAAGGUGACAAUACAUUCACUAUGGUUGGGUUGUUGGAGCAGAUAAAUACAACUAGAGAUGCCUCAGACUAUUUGUGGUACAUGACAGACGUUAAUAUUGAUCCCAGUGAAGGCUUUCUGAAGAGUGGACAGUAUCCUGUUCUGACUGUUCUAUCAGCUGGCCAUGCUUUGCAUGUUUUCAUCAAUGGUCAAUUAUCUGGAACUGCAUAUGGAAGUUUAGAAUUCCCAAAGUUGACAUUUAGUCAAGGUGUCAAGAUGAGAGCUGGUGUCAACAAAAUAUCUCUUCUCAGUGUUGCAGUUGGUCUCCCGAAUGUUGGUCCUCACUUUGAGACAUGGAAUGCUGGAAUCCUUGGCCCAGUGACAUUGAAUGGUUUAAAUGAAGGAAGGAGAGACUUGUCAUGGCAAAAGUGGUCCUACAAGAUU